rnacentral:tRNA from 1 species
GCCUGACUGGCUCAGGGGGUAGAGCAUGAGACUCUUAAUCUUGGGGUUGUGAGUUCAAGCCCCACACUGGGUA